CUAUGUGUUGUUGGGUAGGGGAGCGUUCUGUAAGCCGUUGAAGGUGGCCUGUGAGGGUUGCUGGAGGUAUCAGAAGUGCGAAUGCUGACAUAAGUAACGAUAAAGCGGGUGAAAAGCCCGCUCGCCGGAAGACCAAGGGUUCCUGUCCAACGUUAAUCGGGGCAGGGUGAGUCGACCCCUAAGGCGAGGCCGAAAGGCGUAGUCGAUGGGAAACAGGUUAAUAUUCCUGUACUCGGUGUUACUGCGAAGGGGGGACGGAGAAGGCUAUGUUAGCCGGGCGACGGUUGUC
rnacentral:rRNA from 1 species